AAAGACUAAUCGAACCAUCUAGUAGCUGGUUCCCUCCGAAGUUUCCCUCAGGAUAGCUGGCGCUCUCGCAGACCCGACGCACCCCCGCCACGCAGUUUUAUCCGGUAAAGCGAAUGAUUAGAGGUCUUGGGGCCGAAACGAUCUCAACCUAUUCUCAAACUUUAAAUGGGUAAGAAGCCCGGCUCGCUGGCGUGGAGCCGGGCGUGGAAUGCGAGUGCCUAGUGGGCCACUUUUGGUAAGCAGAACUGGCGCUGCGGGAUGAACCGAACGCCGGGUUAAGGCGCCCGAUGCCGACGCUCAUCAGACCCCAGAAAAGGUGUUGGUUGAUAUAGACAGCAGGACGGUGGCCAUGGAAGUCGGAAUCCGCUAAGGAGUGUGUAACAACUCACCUG
rnacentral:ncRNA from 1 species